AUUUCUAUAGUUUAUAAAAAACACUAAAUUGCAACUUUAGAGAAAAUUAUUGUUUAGAAGUU
rnacentral:tRNA from 1 species